GUCCACUCCAAAGUGUGCUCCCUCUCCCAUUUGGAGAGCUUGAGGUCGAGGGCAGAGCACCUGUCCCGGAGCUUGGUUUAAAGGGCCAUAAUCAGAUCAAAGUCCUAUUGUACUUCAACAUAGAUACAGCUGUCGGGAAGCUGAAAAGAAAACAUGUUAAACAAGCAUAAAAUGGAGUCAGGUCAGAACAAAAUGGCAUUGCUUUGGUUCUUUUCCAUUUCAAAAGAAUUUCCAGUACUCCUGAAGGACAAAUUGGCAGCAAAAAUGGCACCACAGCUUUUGCCACAAUGAGAGGCAACGUCACCAGCUAUGGCAGUAUAAGAAGAAGGCACCCUUAACUUUAAACAUCAGCAGCUUGGCGUCAGCAUCACCAGAAGGGCUGGUGAUCAAACCCAAGGCCUCACACAUGCUCAGCAACUGCUCUACCAUGAGCUACACCCCAGCCCACCUUAUUGGUUUCUGUAUCCUUUAUGAGGACACUGAAUAGAUGCUGUCGACAUCUCUCAGACUGAAGCUGAGAAUUUCCACCUUUACAGACUCGUGAUAUAAUAAGAAAAAUGAAAGAAAAAAAGUCAAAAUUUAUUUAUAAAAAUUGUAAUUAUUUUAAAUGUUGAAAUUAAAUACUGAAAAUACUUGAACUUCUAGCUGGGUAGGGUGGUACAUAACUGUAAUCCCAGCAGCUCAGGAGGCUGAGGCAGGAGGAUCACAAGUUCAAAGCCAGCCUCAGCAACUUAGUGAGGCCCCGAGCAACUGUUUCAAAAUAAAAUAGAAAAACAUACAAAUCUAUGAUGAUCUAUAAAUAAGAUAUACAUGUAAAGUAUACCAGUGAAGAUUUUUUGUUUGUUUUCAACUUUAAGUGUAGAUAGAAUGAGAAGUGAUAUCAAAGUGGGCUGAGUGGGGUGGGGCCAAAUGGACCCCACCCUGUUCCUUCAGUCCCAUCUCCAAUUAAAGAUAGGCCUAACUUUUUGAAUACACACACUAUUAAAACACUUAAGAUCGAAAGUGUAUGUUAUAGAAAUUGUGUGCUUCAAAUAUUGCCUAUUAGGUAUAAACACGACUAUCUAUCUUGUCAAUACAACGUGGAAAACUACACUGAUCUUAUCAUUACAACUUAAAACUGUGGCUUUUCUUUGUACUGUCUGCUUUGGCUGUUGGGGGAACCCACCGACAGAGGAGGAUUUGGGCUUUGCAGGCAGACAAGUAGUCACAGUAUCUUGAGUUAGAAUUGUGGAAUCAUAGGCUACAAGAAUCAGAAGGAAUUUGGAUUUAUUUGUUAAACUUUCCUCUGGCUCAGGAGAUAAAAACAAAAUGUCCUUAAGGCCACUGAUAAGCCAAAACCAGAAGCCAGUCCUCCUGAGGGCCCAAGAGGCUUUGUUUUUACAAACACGCUUAACAUGAAGCAGAUGCCCCAGAUUAUUCAAGCAUGCAUCUCCCUUCUUAGAAUAAAUUUUAGCUAGCUUUGCCAUUUGUCCUGGAUAUCUGAUACCAUGAUAAGCCAUGCAUUGUGACUCUAAAGUGAAGAGAAGUGAAAUGUCUGUGUUAAUCCUGUGAAACGUUUCAUUCUGUACUCCUAAAUUUUCAAAAGCAAAUAUACCCCCAAAAGCUACUAUGUAAGCUAUACUUAAGUCAGGAUGAAUCCCAUUAACACAGUGGAUGGAGUGAGUCACAGCACAUAGAACACGUAGGACCUGAUUCAUAUAUAUAAGGUCCAAAAAAGUAAAAGUGACAUAGGCUGGUAGAAGUCAAGGUUCUGGUUACCAAUCUUUGUGGCCAGGGUAGUAAAUGGAAGGGGACACAAAGAGGAGCUGCCAGAGUCUUGCUCUCAGGCAGCAGCUAAGAGUUACUAGAGUUUAUAAAGGUCUAUGCUUAUGGCAUAUGUUCUUUUGUAAUCUGAUGAACAGUUUCACAAAAGAAGGGAGGUAGUAAUGGGUCCACUGUAAUGUGCUUGGGAUGAGCAACAUUCAGAAACACAGCUAUUUUUUUUAUUAGUUGCUCAUGACAAUACAAUGAUCUUGACAUAUCAUACAUUUGAUUCAAAUGGGGUAUAAAUUCUCAUUUUUCCAUGUGUACAGGUUGCAGGAUCACAUUGGUUAUACGGCCAUGUAUAUACAUACAGCAAUACUAGUGUCUAUUGUAUUCUGCUGCCCUUCCUAUCCCCCCCUCCCCUACCCUCCCAUCACCUCACUCUACCCAAUCUACUGUGACAUAUUUCCACAGCUAUUAUCCUGUUGUUCUAUAGACCCCAUCUCUACAGUCACAUCUAGAAGCAUGAAAUCUACUUUCUACUGGACUUUUUUUUUACUGCAACAA